rnacentral:rRNA from 1 species
GUGGGGAAUCUUGCGCAAUGGGCGAAAGCCUGACGCAGCCAUGCCGCGUGAAUGAUGAAGGUCUUAGGAUUGUAAAAUUCUUUCACCGGGGACGAUAAUGACGGUACCCGGAGAAGAAGCUCCGGCUAACUUCGUGCCAGCAGCCGCGGUAAUACAAAGGGGGCUAGCGUUGCUCGGAAUUACUGGGCGUAAAGGGCGCGUAGGCGGAUAGUUUAGUCAGAGGUGAAAGCCCAGGGCUCAACCUUGGAAUUGCCUUUGAUACUGGCUAUCUUGAGUAUGGAAGAGGUAUGUGGAACUCCGAGUGUAGAGGUGAAAUUCGUAGAUAUUCGGAAGAACACCAGUGGCGAAGGCGACAUACUGGUCCAUUACUGACGCUGAGGCUCGAAAGCGUGGGGAGCAAACAGGAUUAGAUACCCCAGUAGUCC